AACUAACAAGGAUUCCCCUAGUAACGGCGAGUGAAGUGGGAAAAGCUCAACUUUGUAAUCUGGCUGUCUUUGGCAGUCCGAGUUGUAGUCUAGAGAAGUGUUAUCCGCGCAGACCCUUAUAGAUUUCGGUUGGAAUGCCAAGUCAAAGAGGGUGAGAAUCCCGUAUUUGAUAAGGUGGUCUUGUGCAUUGUGAUACAUUUUCAAAGAGUCGAGUUGUUUGGGAAUGCAGCUCAAAGUGGGUGGUAAAUUCCAUCUAAAGCUAAAUAUUGGCGAGAGACCGAUAGCGAACAAGUACCGUGAGGGAAAGAUGAAAAGCACUUUGGAAAGAGAAUGAAAUAGUACCUGAAAUUGCUGAAAGGGAAACGAGUGAAGUUAGACUUGCGCAGUUGGUAUUCAGCCUUGGCUUCGGUCUUGGUGCAUUUGCCUUCUAUUGCAGGCCAACAUCAGUUUACUUUGCGGUAAAAGGGUUUGGGGAAUGUGGCUUCUUCGGGAGUGUUAUAGCCCCUUACUGGAUGCCGAAUCGUAGACUGAGGAACGCAGCGCGCUUUUAUGGCAAGGCUUUCAAGCCUCGAGCGCUUAGGAUGUUGGUAGAAUAGCUUUACACGAC
rnacentral:rRNA from 1 species